CUAAAUCUCUCUGUUUCCCUCUGUCAAAAUCCAGACGGCUCCCUGUCCCAGACAGCCAUGAUGCAGAGUGCUUAGGCUAAGGAGAACCACGCUCAUCAAAUGGCUGAGAUGGAUGCAUUCCUGUUGACCUCGACAAGCAAGGGCCUUGGCCACACACAAACAUUGUAUUAGAGAUGUAGACAUACAGUAUGCUUUCCCACCAUGUGAUUUAUGCCUGGGCUUCUACCUCAUGCAUCCUUUCUGCCAUCUAAAAGUUGAUGGAAGGCAGAUUGCAGCCAACAUCAGAGGCAUUGGCAUGAUGCCAGAUGGCUUCCCGGAGUGGAAGAAACAUGCCUUUGGCGGUAACCAGGCCUCUUAUGGCAAGAAGACAGAGCUUACCAUCCUGGAGCAGAGAGAGCGAGCCUGCCCAUCUACAAGCUAAAGGAGAAGCUCUCACAAGUCAACAAUAGACAUUGCCCUAUAGACAGAAAUAAAGUUGUUUGUCAGACAUCG